GACGAACGCUGGCGGCGUGCUUAACACAUGCAAGUCGAACGGAAAGGCCCUGCUUUUGUGGGGUGCUCGAGUGGCGAACGGGUGAGUAACACGUGAGUAACCUGCCCUUGACUUUGGGAUAACUUCAGGAAACUGGGGCUAAUACCGGAUAGGAGCUCCUGCUGCAUGGUGGGGGUUGGAAAGUUUCGGCGGUUGGGGAUGGACUCGCGGCUUAUCCGCUUGUUGGUGGGGUAGUGGCUUACCAAGCCUUUGCCGGGUAGCCGGCCUGGGAGGGUGACCGGCCACAUUGGGACUGAGAUACGGCCCAGACUCCUACGGGAGGCAGAAGUGGGGAAUAUUGCACAAUGGGCGGAAGCCUGAUGCAGCAACGCCGCGUGCGGGAUGACGGCCUUCGGGUUGUAAACCGCUUUCGCCUGUGACGAAGCGUGAGUGACGGUAAUGGGUAAAGAAGCACCGGCUAACUACGUG
rnacentral:rRNA from 1 species